CGACCGAGAUAGCCUUUAUUUCCUUCAGCGAAUUUCUUUUUAUGACAUCAAUUGACUUAUAGCACGUUCUCUGGAGCGGAUAUUUGAGUUAAAAAAAAAGGAAAAAGUCACAGGGAGCCAAAUCUGGAGAAUAUGGUGGCUGACCGAUGAAUUUUGUUUCGUGUUUGGCCAACAAUUCAGUCACAAUCAGGCUGGAAUGUGACGACGCAUUAUCGUGGUGAAAAAUCCAUAAAUUGUCUACCCGAAAAUCCGGCCGCUUAAGACGAAUUGCUUCACGUAGACGCCUCAAAACGGCCAAAUAGCCAAGCACAAUUUUCAUCACUUUUUCGAUGUUAUCGUCAUUAACAGAGGUGGAUGGACGACUCAAAUGAGAAUCUACAACUUAGAUGAUGAGGAAUCUGCACCUGAAAAGACAAAACCACAGAGACCAGCAAGGUGAUAAUCAUGAAAGUGGUACUCAAAAAGUUUUUGAUUUUAGAAAAUACAUCGAUUGUAUGAAUGCAGAGGAGCAAGAAAGGCUAAAUGUUAAAUCCGCCAGAGCAAUUUUCUCUUCAGAUGCUUCACUCUCGAUGCUCGAAAAUGAAUACUGGCUAGAUUUUUUUCAAGAAUUGCGCCCCUCUUGGAAACCGCCGUCAACAUAUCUAAUUAGCAAUCCUCUUUUAAACGCGGAGUAUGAGAGACUGGAACUAGUCGUCAAUGAAUGCUAUUGCAAAAUCAACUGCAAUUGGAGUCCAAUGUGAUGGCUGGAGUAAUAGACGGAAAGAGUAUUGUUAACUUCGUUGUGACUACUCCGGAGACUGUGCUAUACAAUAAAAGA